rnacentral:rRNA from 1 species
CCUAUAAGACUGGGAUAACUUCGGGAAACCGGAGCUAAUGCCGGAUAACAUUUGGAACCGCAUGGUUCUAAAGUAAAAGAUGGUUUUGCUAUCACUUAUAGAUGGACCCGCGCCGUAUUAGCUAGUUGGUAAGGUAACGGCUUACCAAGGCAACGAUACGUAGCCGACCUGAGAGGGUGAUCGGCCACACUGGAACUGAGACACGGUCCAGACUCCUACGGGAGGCAGCAGUAGGGAAUCUUCCGCAAUGGACGAAAGUCUGACGGAGCAACGCCGCGUGAGUGAUGAAGGUUUUCGGGUCGUAAAACUCUGUUAUUAGGGAAGAACAAAUGUGUAAGUAACUGUGCACAUCUUGACGGUACCUAAUCAGAAAGCCACGGCUAACUACGUGCCAGCAGCCGCGGUAAUACGUAGGUGGCAAGCGUUAUCCGGAAUUAUUGGGCGUAAAGCGCGCGUAGGCGGUUUCUUAAGUCUGAUGUGAAAGCCCACGGCUCAACCGUGGAGGGUCAUUGGAAACUGGGAAACUUGAGUACAGAAGAGGAAAGUGGAAUUCCAUGUGUAGCGGUGAAAUGCGCAGAGAUAUGGAGGAACACCAGUGGCGAAGGCGACUUUCUGGUCUGUAACUGACGCUGAUGUGCGAAAGCGUGGGGAUCAAACAGGAUUAGAUACCCUGGUAGUCCACGCCGUAAACGAUGAGUGCUAAGUGUUAGGGGGUUUCCGCCCCUUAGUGCUGCAGCUAAC